GUGCCCGUAGCUCAGUAGGAUAGAGCGCAAGUUUCCUAAACUUGAUGUCAGGAGUUCGAAUCUCUUCGGGCACACCA
rnacentral:tRNA from 1 species